UGGCUCAGUGGUAGAGUGCUUGCCUUGCAUGCAUGAGGCCCUAGGUUCGAUUCCUCAG
rfam:Dipodomys ordii contig_45927, whole genome shotgun sequence.